GACGAACGCUGGCGGCGUGCUUAACACAUGCAAGUGGAGCGACGAACCAGGCUUCGGCCUGGGGCAGAGCCGCGAACGGGUGAGUAACACGUGGGUAACCUGCCUCGAUGACCGGGACAACCCGGGGAAACCCGGGCUAAUACCGGAUGUGCUGCCUUCACAUCAGUGGAGACAGGAAAGGAAGCUUCGGCCUCCGCAUCGAGAUGGGCCCGCGGCCCAUUAGCUUGUUGGGAGGUAAUGGCUCACCAAGGCCGCGAUGGGUAGCUGGUCUGAGAGGACGAUCAGCCACACUGGGACUGAGACACGGCCCAGACUCCUACGGGAGGCAGCAGUGGGGAAUCUUGCGCAAUGCGCGAAAGCGUGACGCAGCAACGCCGC
rnacentral:rRNA from 1 species